rnacentral:rRNA from 1 species
UACGUAGGGAGCUAGCGUUGUUCGGAAUUACUGGGCGUAAAGCGCACGUAGGCGGCUUUGUAAGUUAGAGGUGAAAGCCCGGGGCUCAACCCCGGAAUUGCCUUUAAGACUGCAUCGCUUGAAUCCAGGAGAGGUGAGUGGAAUUCCGAGUGUAGAGGUGAAAUUCGUAGAUAUUCGGAAGAACACCAGUGGCGAAGGCGGCUCACUGGACUGGUAUUGACGCUGAGGUGCGAAAGCGUGGGGAGCAAACAGG